AGAAAGUUGCAAAGAACUUUGAAGAGAGAGUUCAAGAGGGCGUGAAACCGUUUGGAAGGAAACGGAUAGAGCCGAUGACGGUUGGCGAGAUUCAGUUCGCUGGUCAGGGCAAGGAUGCGCAAGUGGACCGAUCGCUGCGGCGUGUCCUUUGUCCGUGCUGGUGGAUGCAUUUCUCGUUGACGCGCGUCGAGGGCAGAGGAGACGCGAAACGAAACCAGGGUUGCCGGCCUCAUUCGUGGGGUGUCCCACCUUGGUGGAGAUUUGUCGUUCCUUCUGUCAGGAAGACGUCCGCUCUGCUCGGUAGUCGGGCUGCUUGGCUGAAUGAAUCUGGGCGGUUUGCUUGCACACCGUUCUAACCCUCGGUCAGGUUUGUCAGGCAAUCCGAGUGAUGUCGACCUCGGCGUCAAAGUCGGCCACCUAUCCGACCCGUCUUGAAACACGGACCAAGGAGUCUAACAUGUGUGCGAGUCACUGGGCGGUAAACCCAGAGGCGUAAUGAAAGUGAAGACCGGCUUGACCGGUUGAUACGGGACCUUCCCUUGAGGGAGCGCACCGUAGCCCCGUCUCGUCUGCUUGUCAGUGGGGCGGAGGAGGAGCAUACACGUUGGGACCCGAAAGAUGGUGAACUAUGCCUGAGCAGGACGAAGCCAGAGGAAACUCUGGUGGAGGUCCGAAGCGGUUCUGACGUGCAAAUCGAUCGUCAGACUUGGGUAUAGGGGCGAAAGACUAAUCG
rnacentral:rRNA from 1 species